AAAUCAGAUUUUCUGGAAGUGGCAGUGUACAGGAGGAAAAUGCAGCAAUGGAAACUGCAGAUAUCAACCCAAAAACCCUUUGUUCCUUACCUCUAUAUAAGUCUAGAUAGUAUUUAUGAUACUACAGACCAGCCUGUAGCAAUUUUCCUUGAAGAGCUUAGUAAUGACAUUGGUUCAUUUGCAUAUAUGGAAAUUGAAGGAUUCAAGAUGUUCCUAAGCUCCAGCACAUCUCCUGAGAUUCAUGGUUAUUUGCAUGCAAAGGAGCAGGGGAAAAAAUCCUGAAAAAAACUGUACUUUCUUUUGAGAAGAUCUGGCCGUUAUUUUUCCACUAAAGGUACAUCAUAGGAGCCAAGGCAUCUGCAGUUUUUCUGUGAAUUCAGCCAUAGUGAUAUGUACAUGUCUUUGACAGGCAGAAAGAUUUCUGGAGCACCAACAAACCAUGGAUUCUGCUUUAAGGUAUUGUGUUCAAGAUAUGCAUUAAUGCUAAAAAAAUGUUCUGUGGCCUUCUAGCCUAACAAAUCAGGAGGAACCCAAGACCUGAAACAUCUCUGUGCAGAUGAUGAACAAAGUAGGACCUGUUGGAUGACAGCAAUUAGGUUGCUUAAGUAUGGGAUGCAGCUGUAUCAGAAUUGCAUGCAACCGUAUCAAGGCAGAAGUGGCUGCAGCCCUUUGAAUAUAACACCUAUGGUAUGUCCCACAGUAGCUCCACGAACAAAUACAUCGUUUCUGCCAUCAUGCUAUUUUUAAGUAACUUGUGUCAGUUAUACUACUGACCUGAUCGUGCAAGUCUUUGCCUAUGUGAAUGCUUGCUGAAAUAUUUAGGGCUGUCAGGGUUGACUACAAAGCUAAUUAAUUACUUAAUGCAAAUCAGGUAGUUCAGACCAAUUAAGAGGCUUUUUCCCUCUGUCAAAUCAUGAAUCUUUUGAGAGUUCGUUGGCUUAUUAUCGCAGUCAGAAAGAAUGGAAAGAGGAUUUUGGAAACAGAGCACCGGAACUAUAAAUGCAUAAAAAAAGAAGCAAAGUGUUUAAGGAUACACAUGCUCUAAGUGCUGAAUAAGAAAGCUGUAACAAAUCCUUUUUGGUGUACAGUAAUACUUCCAUUUUAUUUUUUUAAAUAUGAAAUGUUAAGUAUUUGAGGUGAAUUUCAGCUGCUGCAAUACUGACUGGACUUCGGAGGAACACUGUAAUUUGGCAGAACUGGAUUUUGGAGGACAGCAGCCUAUACUAGAUGCUGUGUCCAUCUCCUCAGAUAGUUGGGACUGGAUCAGGUUGUCCUUCCCUUUAAUAUCUUAUGUUAUCCCAGCUCUUUAUGAGUCAUUUGAUUUCAGACAUUUUCAUGGAUGAUUUGUAUCACUUUUGUGGUUUUUGUUGGCUAAAUUGAGUAAAAAUUACAUGUUGCAAGGAAUUAUGACAGUGAUUUUAUGGUGGAUUUUUUGAGCUUUUAUUAUAAUUCUUGCUGUUAAAAUGCCUAAAACAUGCAUUUGCUGUACAGGUAUUUAAAAAGUUAGUUUUCAGUGAUAUUGCUAAUAUGCAUGGUUUCAAAAUUGUGAUUAAUACAUGGACCAUGUCUUCACUUCCUUUUAUGUGAAGAUGUUACAAUAGACAGCUGCUGCUUUUAUAAUGGAUCGUGGCACCAUUAUCAAUUC